rnacentral:tRNA from 1 species
GGGAAAGUGGCAACGAUUGGCGGUGUUGCGGCGGUCUGUAAAACCGUUCCCUCGUGGUAAACAUUAUAGGUUCAACUCCUAUCUUUCCCA